CUGGUCUUGACAUCCUGGGAAUCCCGUAAAGAUAUGGGAGUGCCGCAAGGAGCCCANANACAGGUGCUGCAUGGCUGUCGUCAGCUCGUGUCGUGAGAUGUUGGGUUAAGUCCCGCAACGAGCGCAACCCUUGUCCUUAGUUGCCAGCAUUCAGUUGGGCACUCUAAGGAGACUGCCGGUGACAAACCGGAGGAAGGUGGGGAUGACGUCAAAUCAUCAUGCCCCUUAUGACCUGGGCUACACACGUGCUACAAUGGAUGGUACAAAGGGUUGCGAGACCGCGAGGUUUAGCCAAUCCCAUAAAACCAUUCUCAGUUCGGAUUGUAGGCUGCAACUCGCCUACAUGAAGCCGGAAUCGCUAGUAAUCGUGGAUCAGCAUGCCACGGUGAAUACGUUCCC
rnacentral:rRNA from 1 species